UGUGUGUGUGUGUCUCCAGUUUUAGUGGUUUAUCUCAGACUGGAGAAGAUGAGUGAUUUAAAAGAUGAGGAAGAGGACACAUCUUCAGUCUCCAGCUGUCUGUCUCUGAAGAGUGACUGGUCUAAAAGAAGACCUCUAAACUUCAGUAAUGAACCUGGACCCUCAGACACAAAACAGAGAGCAGAGUCUCCAGUCCCCAGCUGUCUGUCUCUGAAGAGUGAUUGGUCUAAAGAUAAACCUCCAGACUUCAGUAAUGAACCUGGACCCUCAGACACAAAAAGGAAGAGGAAGAGUGGUGUUCCUGUGGAGGAGCAGCUGUCCAGCUGUGCUCUGUGUCACAACGUCCUGACGGAUCCAGUCUCUUCCAGCUGUGGACACUGGUUCUGCAGACAGUGCAUCACCGAAUACUGGGAGCAGAGACCUCCAUCAGGAGACCCCUCCUGUCCCCAGUGUGGGAAGAGAUCCAGAACCACAGCUGGACUGCAGACAGCCAGUCAGACCAGAACUGUACGAGCAGAUAGUGGUCUGCAGGAGGUUUUAGAUGAACAUAGGCUCAGUCUGAGGAGGAGAUGUGAACGUGUGACUGAAGGAAUUGAUCAAAGUGAAACCCUCCUCAACAGCAUCUUCACUGAGCUCUACAUCACACAAGGCCAGAGUGAAGAGGUUAAUACCCAACAUGAGGUGAGGCAGCUGGAGGCAGCUUCCAAGAAGAAGCCCCUCCAUGACACUCCAAUCAAGUGCCAGGACAUCUUUAAAGCCUUACCUGACCAACAGACUCCCAUCAGAGCGGUCCUGACCAACGGAGUCGCUGGAGUUGGAAAAACCUUCUCAGUGCUGAAGUUCACUCUGGACUGGGCCGAGGGUUUGGGAAACCAAGAUGUCAGUCUGGUGAUCCCGCUCUCCUUCAGGGAGCUGAACCUGAUCAAAGGUGAGCAGUACAGUCUUCUCAGGCUGCUCCAUGUUUUCCAUCCAACCUUACAGAAGGUCAAAGCAGAGCAGCUGGCUGUCUGCAAAGUGCUGCUCAUCUUUGACGGCCUGGAUGAAAGCAGACUUUCUCUGGACUUCAGAAACAAUGAGGUUGUGUCUGAUGUCUCACAGCAGUCCUCAGUCAACGUGCUGCUGACAAACCUCAUCAGGGGGAAGCUGCUUCCCUCAGCUCUCGUCUGGAUAACUUCCAGACCUGCAGCGGCCAAUAAGAUCCCUCCUGAGUGUGUGGACAGGGUAACAGAAGUACGAGGCUUCACUGACGCCCAGAAGGAGGAGUACUUCAGGAGGAGAUCGAGUGAUGAAGACCUGUCCAGCAGAAUCAUCUCUCACAUCAAGAGCUCCAGGAGCCUCCACAUCAUGUGUCUGAUCCCAGUCUUCUGCUGGAUCACUGCUGCAGUUCUGGACCACAUGUUGACUACAGACCAGAGAGGAGAGCUGCCCCAGACCCUCACUGACAUGUACUCACACUUCCUGCUGGUCCAGACCAAGAGGAAGAAGCAGAAGUAUGAAGAGGGACAUGAGACGAGUCCACAGCAGCUGACGGAGGCUGACAGGGAGCUUCUUCUGAAGCUGGGGAGGCUGGCAUUUGAACAUCUGGAGAAAGGAGACAUCAUGUUCUACCAAGAAGACCUGCAGCGCUGUGGCCUUGGUGUCACCGAGGCCUUGGUGCACUCAGGAGUUUGUACACAGAUCUUCAAAAGAGAGAGUGUGAUCUUCCAGAAAACAGUCUACUGCUUUGUUCAUCUGAGCAUUCAGGAGUUUCUGGCUGCAGUCUACUUGUUGCACUGUUACACCAACAGAGACACAGAGGUACUGAAGGACUUCCUGCAGGGAGACUUUAACAGCAGCAGUGAUCAGGAUUACCCAUCCCUGGAUGUCUUCCUGAAGGGAGCCAUGGAGAUAUCCCUCCAAAGUAGAAAUGGCCACCUGGACCUGUUUGUCCGCUUUCUCCACGGUCUCUCUCUGGAGUCCAACCAGAGUCUGUUAGGAGGCCUGCUGGGUCGCACCGACAACAGACCAGAAACCAUCCAGAGAGCCAUCAGCAACCUGAAGGAGAUGAGCAGUAGAUAUAUCUCUCCUGACAGGAGCAUUAACGUCUUCCACUGUCUGACAGAGAUGAAGGACCUCUCAGUACAUCAGGAGAUCACAGAGUUCCUGAAGUCAGAGAACAGAUCAGAGAAGAGACUCUCUGAUAUCCACUGCUCUGCUCUGGCCUACAUGCUGCAGAUGUCAGAGGAGGUUCUGGAUGAGUUGGACCUGAAUCAGUACAACACAUCACAGGAGGGACGAUGGAGACUGAUUCCAGCUGUGAGGAACUGCAGGAAGUUCAAACUUAUUGGCUGUGGACUCUCAGAGAGUAUCUGUGAAGUCGUGGCCUCAGCUCUGAAGUCUGACCCCUCCCAUCUGAGAGAUCUGGACCUGAGUAAGAACUAUCUGAAGGAUUCACAUGUGGAGCUGCUGAUUUCUGGACUAAAGAGUCCAAACUGCAGACUGGAGGCUCUCAGACUGAGGGGCUGCAGUUUGUCAGAGAUCAGCUGUUCUGCUCUGAUCUCAGCUCUGAAGUCCAACCCCUCCCAUCUGAGAGAUCUGGACCUGAGGUACAGCGCUCUGCAGGAUUCAGGAGUGGAGCUGCUGAGAGAUCUUCUGGAGAGUCCAGACUGCAGACUGGAGACUCUCAGACUGAGGAGCUGCAGUUUGUCAGAGAUCAGCUGUUCUGCUCUGAUCUCAGCUCUGAAGUCCAACCUCCAUCUGAGAGAUUUGGACCUGAGUCGGAACAACGCUCUGCUGGAUUCAGGAGUGGAGCUGCUGAGAGAUCUUCUGGAGAGUCCAGACUGCAGACUGGAGACCCUCAGGUCAGUAAGGGGUCUCUGCUGGUUCAGCAGUAUUGUAUGAAACACAGGGAGGUGUUUCUCUCACUGGGGAAUCAGAUCAGUGAUGUUACCCACUGACUGCAGGCUCUCUCAUUCUUCCAUCAACUAGAGAAGGCCAGCUGGAAAUGCAAAGCCACAUUUAGAUCAGAAGAGAUGAGACGAUCAGAGCCAAGAUCCAGAAGACCUGAACGCCCACCCCCCGAGUCCUGCGGCAGGAAGCGCUCCUUCUCUCCAAGAACUCCUGGACCCUGCAAGCUGGUCCAGAACCAGAGUCCCAGUGAGGAGUCCAGCCAGUCGACCUCUCAGAGUUCAACUAAACUACAACAUUAUUAAAGAUCAUGUUUAAAGUUAAAAAAGGAUGCUUUCAGACUGAAUCCAGAAGCUUCUCAAGCUGCAGUCAAAGCAGAUCAUUUGAGGAAUAUAUAAAACAAUUAUGAAACUGUAAUAAGAAUUACUCUGAAUACUUUCUUUGACAUUUUAUUUACAUUUCUUUUAAACAAAUAUUUCAAAAAUGUCUGACUUCUCUCAUGAAUUAACGACUUGAUUUCAUUUUUUUUCAUUUCCAUCUUUAUUUCGAACAGAUUAAAAAAGCUAAUAAAAAAAAACAAAUGUGAAAAACAGAAUA